AGCCUGAGGCGCGCUGGUGGUUCACCUGCCCGGCUCGGGUGGGUGAGGCAAGAGGGAACCCGGUGUGAUUCCGGGACUGCCCCGCAGCGGUGAGUGGGAACGAAAGCCGUGGCCGGUCACACGAUCGGGAACCGGCACUGGGCCAACCGGCCUGGGAAGCCGACGGCGAGUAGGAGCCGGAGCGUGUCCGGCGCGCCCGCGAGUCCGAAGACCUGCCACCGGUGCGCGCACCGC
rnacentral:ncRNA from 2 species